rnacentral:rRNA from 1 species
CAGCCGCCGCGGUAAUACGUAGGUGGCAAGCGUUAAUCGGAAUUACUGGGCGUAAAGCGUGCGCAGGUGGUUCGCUAAGACAGAUGUGAAAUCCCCGGGCUUAACCUGGGAACUGCAUUUGUGACUGGCGGGCUAGAGUAUGGCAGAGGGGGGUAGAAUUCCACGUGUAGCAGUGAAAUGCGUAGAGAUGUGGAGGAAUACCGAUGGCGAAGGCAGCCCCCUGGGCCAAUACUGACGCUCAUGCACGAAAGCGUGGGGAGCAAACAGGAUUAGAUACCCGCGUAGUCCCUGUCUCUUAUAC